ensembl:lncRNA
CCAGAGACGGAUGACGUCGGGCGCCUCUUCUCGCUGUCGUUAGGCGUGUGGGGUACUGGGGGGGGGGGCGAGCACCAGAGUAGACCCUGCAGGACCAGAGUGCCAUUAGAAAGUCAGUUAAGUGUACUUUUCUCUCACAGAUAACUCCAUUUUUGGGGGGGGGGCUCUGUCCUCCGACCCCGUCCAGCUGGUUUUCCGGUGAAGCGCUACAGAUACUGAGGUGUGCAGCCCUCCCGUGAUCAGGAGAAAUAGCAUUUAGUCACGAGAUGAUACUGUUUUAUCCCCUCGACAUCGUCUGCUGGGGACCCGGACCUGAUGUUGGUCAUGUGAUCCCCAAAAACACUGUUUAAUGUACAUAAGAAGUGCUGGGAUUGUCACAUGACCCGUUUGUAACUUCACUCACAAACUGCUAAUUGUAAUGUGCUUUCAAUGAUUGUACUUUUCUAAGAAUCUUUUUCUCUUUUUUUUCUUACUUUAUUUUAAUAAGCCCAGUUUUUUCUCCUUUUUAUUCUGCAGGGUUUUUUGAUUACUGUAAAGUCUUUGCUGCGUUUUCUACAGGAAGUCAAACUGAUUUUCGUUCAUCCGUCCACUCAGCUCACUGAAGAUGAGUCUUUCUUCUUGUAAAAUGAUCAGUUUUCUCCACCGAGUUAAAAACGGACUGUACCCCCCCCCCCCCGAAGAAGCCUGGAGACCAGAAAGCAGUUCCAUGAAAUGGCCUGUCCUCAAGUCGGAGGGGGACAUGUGAGCGCUUGCACCGCAAAUUGAGACUAAAGCUGCUUUGUGAGCGACAUAGUGUGGACUAUUGUUACUUAAGUGCUUACAAUGUACCACUUUUAUGUAGAACUAAUGUUAGAUUUGUCAAAGGAAUUCAAUUAUGGAUCCACAGACUCUGAAAUUGAUUAGCUACUCUUUUGUCAUUGGUUUUGUAGAAGUCACUUCCUCAGAGGAUUGCGCUCUAAAGAUUUGUUUGUGGAGGAUUUACAGGAGACAAGGACAUUUUUAACACUUACCUACAGUAUCUCUUCCAGAGGCCAGUUGAUUUAAAUAACCCCCCCGCCUGGAUAUGUAGUUGCCAGUUUUUGUGCACAAACCCCACUCUCUUGUCCAUGUUGAAUUGUAAAUAUGUUCAUUUGCUUUAUUUAUGUUUUGAUGCCGUGAUCAAUCCUCUUGGGGUUGGUGUUAUUAUGAAUGGGCUUCCUGCGAUGGAGCGCGUUGGAAUAUGAUGACUUCUUACAAGUCUAAAUUUAAUAAACCGGUCUAUA